UACGUAGGGUGCAAGCGUUAAUCGGAAUUACUGGGCGUAAAGCGUGCGCAGGCGGUGAUGUAAGACAGGUGUGAAAGCCCCGGGCUUAACCUGGGAAUGGCCAUGGAAACUGGCGAGCUGGAGUGUGGCAGAGGAGGGUGGAAUUCCGCGUGUAGCAGUGAAAAUGCGUAGAUAUGCGGAGGAACACCGAUGGCGAAGGCAAUCCCCUGGGCCUGCACUGACGCUCAUGCACGAAAGCGUGGGGAGCAAAAGGG
rnacentral:rRNA from 1 species